rnacentral:rRNA from 1 species
GAUGAACGCUAGCUACAGGCUUAACACAUGCAAGUCGAGGGGCAGCAUGAACAUAGCUUGCUAUGUUUGAUGGCGACCGGCGCACGGGUGCGUAACACGUAUCCAAUCUGCCCGUUACUCGGGGAUAGCCUUCUGAAAGGAAGAUUAAUACCCGAUGGCAUGUAUUUCCGGCAUCGGAGAUACAUUAAAGAUUUAUCGGUAACGGAUGAGGAUGCGUACGAUUAGCUAGUUGGCGGGGUAACGGCCCACCAAGGCGACGAUCGUUAGGGGUUCUGAGAGGAAGGUCCCCCANACUGGAACUGAGACACGGUCCAGACUCCUACGGGAGGCAGCAGUGAGGAAUAUUGGUCAAUGGUCGGAAGACUGAACCAGCCAAGUAGCGUGAAGGAUGACUGCCCUACGGGUUGUAAAACUUCUUUUUGUAAGGGAGCAAUAAGGUCUACGUGUAGGCCGAUGAGAGUACCUUACGAAUAAGCAUCGGCUAACUCCGUGCCAGCAG